UACGGGGGGGGGCAAGCGUUUGUUCGGAAUUACUGGGCGUAAAGGGCGCGUAGGCGGCCUACUAAGUCGGACGUGAAAUCCCUCGGCUCAACCGAGGAACUGCGUCCGAUACUGGCAGGCUGGAAUCCGGGAGAGGGAUGUGGAAUUCCAGGUGUAGCGGUGAAAUGCGUAGAUAUCUGGAGGAACACCGGUGGCGAAGGCGGCAUCCUGGACCGGUAUUGACGCUGAGGCGCGAAAGCUAGGGGAGCAAACGGG
rnacentral:rRNA from 1 species